UCCAAUGUUGCCUGCAUUCGGCCUGCUUA
rnacentral:sRNA from 1 species